GUUAGGGUUGGGCUUGGAGCUAGGAUUUUUCUGAGUGCACUGAACCAACUCCCGAGUCUCUAGGACAUUCCUAAAAAAAUUGAUUUUUUCCCAUAGGAAUGCAUGGGUUAGGGUUAGGGUUAGGGUUGGAGCUAGGGUUAGGGUUAGGGUUAGGGUUGGAGUUAGGGUUAGUGUUGGAGCUAGGGUUAGGGUUGGGCUUGGAGCUAGGAUUUUUCUGAGUGCACUGAACCAACUCCCGAGUCUCUAGGACAUUCCUAAAAAAAAAUUUGAUUUUUUCCCAUAGGAAUGCAUGGGUUAGGGUUAUGGUUAGGGUAAGGGUUGGAGCUAGGGUUAGGGUUAGGGUUAGGGUUGGAGUUAGGGUUAGUGUUGGAGCUAGGGUUAGGGUUGGGCUUGGAGCUAGGAUUUUUCUGAGUGCAAUGAACCAACUCCCGAGUCUCUUGGACAUUCCUAAAAAAAUUUGAUUUUUUCCCAUAGGAAUGCAUGGGUUAGGGUUAGGGUUAGGGUUGGAGCUAGGGUUAGGGUUAGGGUUAGUGUUGGAGCUAGGGUUAGGGUUGGGCUUGGAGCUAGGACUUUUCUGAGUGCAAUGAACCAACUCCCGAGUCUCUAGGACGUUCCCUAAAAAAAUUUGAUUUUUUCCCAUAGGAAUGCAUGGGUUAGGGUUAGGGUUAGGGUUGGAGCUAGGGUUAGGGUUAGGGUUAGGGUUGGAGUUAGGGUUAGUGUUGGAGCUAGGGUUAGGGUUGGGCUUGGAGCUAGGAUUUUUCUGAGUGCACUGAACCAACUCCCGAGUCUCUAGGACAUUCCUAAAAAAAUUUGAUUUUUUCCCAUAGGAAUGCAUGGGUUAGGGUUAUGGUUAGGGUUAGGGUUGGAGCUAGGGUUAGGGUUAGGGUUAGGGUUGGAGUUAGGGUUAGUGUUGGAGCUAGGGUUAGGGUUGGGCUUGGAGCUAGGAUUUUUCUGAGUGCAAUGAACCAACUCCCGAGUCUCUAGGACGUUCCUAAAAAAUUUGAUUUUUUCCCAUAGGAAUGCAUGGGUUAGGGUUAGGGUUAGGGUUGGAGCUAGGGUUAGGGUUAGGGUUAGGGUUGGAGUUAGGGUUAGUGUUGGAGCUAGGGUUAGGGUUGGGCUUGGAGCUAGGAUUUUUCUGAGUGCAAUGAACCAACUCCCGAGUCUCUAGGACGUUCCUAAAAAAAUUUGAUUUUUUCCCAUAGGAAUGCAUGGGUUAGGGUUAGGGUUAGGGUUAGGGUUGGAUCUAGGGUUAGGGUUAGGGUUAGGGUUGGAGUUAGGGUUAGUGUUGGAGCUAGGGUUAGGGUUGGGCUUGGAGCUAGGAUUUUUCUGAGUGCAAUGAACCAACCCCGAGUCUCUAGGACGUUCCUAAAAAAAUUUGAUUUUUUCCCAUAGGAAUGCAUGGGUUAGGGUUAUGGUUAGGGUUAGGGUUGGAGCUAGGGUUAGGGUUAGGGUUAGGGUUGGAGUUAGGGUUAGUGUUGGAGCUAGGGUUAGGGUUGGGCUUGGAGCUAGGAUUUUUCUGAGUGCACUGAACCAACUCCCGAGUCUCUAGGACAUUCCUAAAAAAAAUUGAUUUUUUCCCAUAGGAAUGCAUGGGUUAGGGUUAGGGUUAGGGUUGGAGCUAGGGUUAGGGUUAGGGUUGGAGUUAGGGUUAGUGUUGGAGCUAGGGUUAGGGUUGGGCUUGGAGCUAGGACUUUUCUGAGUGCAAUGAACCAACUCCCGAGUCUCUAGGACGUUCCCUAAAAAAAUUUGAUUUUUUCCCAUAGGAAUGCAUGGGUUAGGGUUAGGGUUAGGGUUGGAGCUAGGGUUAGGGUUAGGGUUAGGGUUGGAGUUAGGGUUAGUGUUGGAGCUAGGGUUAGGGUUGGGCUUGGAGCUAGGAUUUUUCUGAGUGCACUGAACCAACUCCCGAGUCUCUAGGACAUUCCUAAAAAAAAUUGAUUUUUUUCCCAUAGGAAUGCAUGGGUUAGGGUUAGGGUUAGGGUUGGAGCUAGGGUUAGGGUUAGGGUUAGGGUUGGAGUUAGGGUUAGUGUUGGAGCUAGGGUUAGGGUUGGGCUUGGAGCUAGGAUUUUUCUGAGUGCACUGAACCAACUCCCGAGUCUCUAGGACAUUCCUAAAAAAAUUUGAUUUUUUCCCAUAGGAAUGCAUGGGUUAGGGCUAUGGUUAGGGUAAGGGUUGGAGCUAGGGUUAGGGUUAGGGUGAGGGUUGGAGUUAGGGUUAGUGUUGGAGCUAGGGUUAGGGUUGGGCUUGGAGCUAGGAUUUUUCUGAGUGCAAUGAACCAACUCCCGAGUCUCUUGGACAUUCCUAAAAAAAUUUGAUUUUUUCCCAUAGGAAUGCAUGGGUUAGGGUUAGGGUUAGGGUUGGAGCUAGGGUUAGGGUUAGGGUUAGGGUUGGAGUUAGGGUUAGUGUUGGAGCUAGGGUUAGGGUUGGGCUUGGAGCUAGGAUUUUUCUGAGUGCAAUGAACCAACUCCCGAGUCUCUAGGACGUUCCUAAAAAAAUUUGAUUUUUUCCCAUAGGAAUGCAUGGGUUAGGGUUAGGGUUAGGGUUAGGGUUGGAGCUAGGGUUAGGGUUAGGGUUAGGGUUGGAGUUAGGGUUAGUGUUGGAGCUAGGGUUAGGGUUGGGCUUGGAGCUAGGAUUUUUCUGAGUGCAAUGAACCAACCCCGAGUCUCUAGGACGUUCCUAAAAAAAUUUGAUUUUUUCCCAUAGGAAUGCAUGGGUUAGGGUUAUGGUUAGGGUUAGGGUUGGAGCUAGGGUUAGGGUUAGGGUUAGGGUUGGAGUUAGGGUUAGUGUUUGAGCUAGGGUUAGGGUUGGGCUUGGAGCUAGGAUUUUUCUGAGUGCAAUGAACCAACUCCCGAGUCUCUAGGACGUUCCUAAAAAAAUUUGAUUUUUUCCCAUAGGAAUGCAUGGGUUAGGGUUAGGGUUAGGGUUGGAGCUAGGGUUAGGGUUAGGGUUAGGGUUGGAGUUAGGGUUAGUGUUGGAGCUAGGGUUAGGGUUGGGCUUGGAGCUAGGAUUUUUCUGAGUGCAAUGAACCAACUCCCGAGUCUCUAGGACGUUCCUAAAACAAUUUGAUUUUUUCCCAUAGGAAUGCAUGGGUUAGGGUUAGGGUUAGGGUUGGAGCUAGGGUUAGGGUUAGGGUUAGGGUUGGAGUUAGGGUUAGUGUUGGAGCUAGGGUUAGGGUUGGGCUUGGAGCUAGGACUUUUCUGAGUGCAAUGAACCAACUCCCGAGUCUCUAGGACGUUCCCUAAAAAAAUUUGAUUUUUUCCCAUAGGAAUGCAUGGGUUAGGGUUAGGGUUAGGGUUGGAGCUAGGGUUAGGGUUAGGGUUAGGGUUAGAGUUAGGGUUAGUGUUGGAGCUAGGGUUAGGGUUGGGCUUGGAGCUAGGAUUUUUCUGAGUGCACUGAACCAACUCCCGAGUCUCUAGGACAUUCCUAAAAAAAUUGAUUUUUUUCCAUAGGAAUGCAUGGGUUAGGGUUAGGGUUAGGGUUGGAGCUAGGGUUAGUGUUAGGUUUAGGGUUGGAGUUAGGGUUAGUGUUUGAGCUAGGGUUAGGGCUGGGCUUGGAGCUAGGAUUUUUCUGAGUGCAAUGAACCAACUCCCGAGUCUCUAGGACGUUCCUAAAAAAAAUUGAUUUUUUCCCAUAGGAAUGCAUGGGUUAGGGUUAGGGUUAGGGUUGGAGCUAGGGUUAGGGUUAGGGUUAGGGUUGGAGUUAGGGUUAGUGUUGGAGCUAGGGUUAGGGUUGGGCUUGGAGCUAGGAUUUUUCUGAGUGCAAUGAACCAACUCCCGAGUCUCUAGGACGUUCCUAAAAAAAUUUGAUUUUUUCCCAUAGGAAUGCAUGGGUUAGGGUUAGGGUUAGGGUUGGAGCUAGGGUUAGGGUUAGGGUUAGGGUUGGAGUUAGGGUUAGUGUUGGAGCUAGGGUUAGGGUUGGGCUUGGAGCUAGGAUUUUUCUGAGUGCACUGAACCAACUCCCGAGUCUCUAGGACAUUCCUAAAAAAAUUUGAUUUUUUCCCAUAGGAAUGCAUGGGUUAGGGUUAGGGUUAGGGUUGGAGCUAGGGUUAGGGUUAGGGUUGGAGUUAGGGUUAGUGUUGGAGCUAGGGUUAGGGUUGGGCUUGGAGCUAGGACUUUUCUGAGUGCAAUGAACCAACUCCCGAGUCUCUAGGACGUUCCCUAAAAAAAAUUGAUUUUUUCCCAUAGGAAUGCAUGGGUUAGGGUUAGGGUUAGGGUUGGAGCUAGGGUUAGGGUUAGGGUUAGGGUUAGAGUUAGGGUUAGUGUUGGAGCUAGGGUUAGGGUUGGGCUUGGAGCUAGGAUUUUUCUGAGUGCACUGAACCAACUCCCGAGUCUCUAGGACAUUCCUAAAAAAAAUUGAUUUUUUUCCAUAGGAAUGCAUGGGUUAGGGUUAGGGUUAGGGUUGGAGCUAGGGUUAGUGUUAGGUUUAGGGUUGGAGUUAGGGUUAGUGUUGGAGUUAGGGUUAGGGUUGGGCUUGGAGCUAGGAUUUUUCUGAGUGCAAUGAACCAACUCCCGAGUCUCUAGGACGUUCCUAAAAAAAUUUGAUUUUUUCCCAUAGGAAUGCAUGGGUUAGGGUUAGGGUUAGGGUUGGAGCUAGGGUUAGGGUUAGGGUUAGGGUUGGAGUUAGGGUUAGUGUUGGAGCUAGGGUUAGGGUUGGGCUUGGAGCUAGGAUUUUUCUGAGUGCACUGAACCAACUCCCGAGUCUCUAGGACAUUCCUAAAAAAAUUUGAUUUUUUCCCAUAGGAAUGCAUGGGUUAGGGUUAUGGUUAGGGUUAGGGUUGGAGCUAGGGUUAGGGUUAGGGUUAGGGUUGGAGUUAGGGUUAGUGUUGGAGCUAGGGUUAGGGUUGGGCUUGGAGCUAGGAUUUUUCUGAGAGGCACUGAACCAACUCCCGAGUCUCUAGGACAUUCCUAAAAAAAUUUGAUUUUUCCCAUAGGAAUGCAUGGGUUAGGGUUAUGGUUAGGGUUAGGGUUGGAGCUAGGGUUAGGGUUAGGGUUAGGGUUGGAGUUAUGGUUAGUGUUGGAGCUAGGGUUAGGGUUGGGCUUGGAGCUAGGAUUUUUCUGAGUGCAAUGAACCAACUCCCGAGUCUCUAGGACGUUCCUAAAAAAAUUUGAUUUUUUCCCAUAGGAAUGCAUGGGUUAGGGUUAGGGUUAGGGUUGGAGCUAGGGUUAGGGUUAGGGUUAGGGUUAGGGUUGGAGUUAGGGUUAGUGUUGGAGCUAGGGUUAGGGUUGGGCUUGGAGCUAGGAUUUUUCUGAGUGCACUGAACCAACUCCCGAGUCUCUAGGACAUUCCUAAAAAAAUUUGAUUUUUUCCCAUAGGAAUGCAUGGGUUAGGGUUAGGGUUAGGGUUGGAGCUAGGGUUAGGGUUAGGGUUAGGGUUGGAGUUAGGGUUAGUGUUGGAGCUAGGGUUAGGGUUGGGCUUGGACUAGGAUUUUUCUGAGUGCACUGAACCAACUCCCGAGUCUCUAGGACAUUCCUAAAAAAAUUUGAUUUUUUCCCAUAGGAAUGCAUGGGUUAGGGUUAUGGUUAGGGUUAGGGUUGGAGCUAGGGUUAGGGUUAGGGUUAGGGUUGGAGUUAGGGUUAGUGUUGGAGCUAGGGUUAGGGUUGGGCUUGGAGCUAGGAUUUUUCUGAGUGCAAUGAACCAACUCCCGAGUCUCUUGGACGUUCCUAAAAAAAUUUGAUUUUUUCCCAUAGGAAUGCAUGGGUUAGGGUUAGGGUUAGGGUUGGAGCUAGGGUUAGGGUUAGGGUUAGGGUUGGAGUUAGGGUUAGUGUUGGAGCUAGGGUUAGGGUUGGGCUUGGAGCUAGGAUUUUUCUGAGUGCACUGAACCAACUCCCGAGUCUCUAGGACAUUCCUAAAAAAAUUUGAUUUUUUCCCAUAGGAAUGCAUGGGUUAGGGUUAUGUUUAGGGUUAGGGUUGGAGCUAGGGUUAGGGUUAGGGUUAGGGUUGGAGUUAGGGUUAGUGUUGGAGCUAGGGUUAGGGUUGGGCUUGGAGCUAGGAUUUUUCUGAGUGCAAUGAACCAACUCCCGAGUCUCUUGGACGUUCCUAAAAAAAUUUGAUUUUUUCCCAUAGGAAUGCAUGGGUUAGGGUUAGGGUUAGGGUUGGAGCUAGGGUUAGGGUUAGGGUUAGGGUUGGAGUUAGGGUUAGUGUUGGAGCUAGGGUUAGGGUUGGGCUUGGAGCUAGGAUUUUUCUGAGUGCAAUGAACCAACUCCCGAGUCUCUAGGACGUUCCUAAAAAAAUUUGAUUUUUUCCCAUAGGAAUGCAUGGGUUAGGGUUAGGGUUAGGGUUAGGGUUGGAGCUAGGGUUAGGGUUAGGGUUAGGGUUGGAGUUAGGGUUAGUGUUGGAGCUAGGGUUAGGGUUGGGCUUGGAGCUAGGAUUUUUCUGAGUGCAAUGAACCAACCCCGAGUCUCUAGGACGUUCCUAAAAAAUUUGAUUUUUUCCCAUAGGAAUGCAUGGGUUAGGGUUAUGGUUAGGGUUAGGGUUGGAGCUAGGGUUAGGGUUAGGGUUAGGGUUGGAGUUAGGGUUAGUGUUUGAGCUAGGGUUAGGGUUGGGCUUGGAGCUAGGAUUUUUCUGAGUGCAAUGAACCAACUCCCGAGUCUCUAGGACGUUCCUAAAAAAAUUUGAUUUUUUCCCAUAGGAAUGCAUGGGUUAGGGUUAGGGUUAGGGUUGGAGCUAGGGUUAGGGUUAGGGUUAGGGUUGGAGUUAGGGUUAGUGUUGGAGCUAGGGUUAGGGUUGGGCUUGGAGCUAGGAUUUUUCUGAGUGCAAUGAACCAACUCCCGAGUCUCUAGGACGUUCCUAAAACAAUUUGAUUUUUUCCCAUAGGAAUGCAUGGGUUAGGGUUAGGGUUAGGGUUGGAGCUAGGGUUAGGGUUAGGGUUAGGGUUGGAGUUAGGGUUAGUGUUGGAGCUAGGGUUAGGGUUGGGCUUGGAGCUAGGACUUUUCUGAGUGCAAUGAACCAACUCCCGAGUCUCUAGGACGUUCCCUAAAAAAAUUUGAUUUUUUCCCAUAGGAAUGCAUGGGUUAGGGUUAGGGUUAGGGUUGGAGCUAGGGUUAGGGUUAGGGUUAGGGUUAGAGUUAGGGUUAGUGUUGGAGCUAGGGUUAGGGUUGGGCUUGGAGCUAGGAUUUUUCUGAGUGCACUGAACCAACUCCCGAGUCUCUAGGACAUUCCUAAAAAAAUUGAUUUUUUUCCAUAGGAAUGCAUGGGUUAGGGUUAGGGUUAGGGUUGGAGCUAGGGUUAGUGUUAGGUUUAGGGUUGGAGUUAGGGUUAGUGUUGGAGCUAGGGUUAGGGUUGGGCUUGGAGCUAGGAUUUUUCUGAGUGCAAUGAACCAACUCCCGAGUCUCUAGGACGUUCCUAAAAAAAUUGAUUUUUUCCCAUAGGAAUGCAUGGGUUAGGGUUAGGGUUAGGGUUGGAGCUAGGGUUAGGGUUAGGGUUAGGGUUGGAGUUAGGGUUAGUGUUGGAGCUAGGGUUAGGGUUGGGCUUGGAGCUAGGAUUUUUCUGAGUGCAAUGAACCAACUCCCGAGUCUCUAGGACGUUCCUAAAAAAAUUUGAUUUUUUCCCAUAGGAAUGCAUGGGUUAGGGUUAGGGUUAGGGUUGGAGCUAGGGUUAGGGUUAGGGUUAGGGUUGGAGUUAGGGUUAGUGUUGGAGCUAGGGUUAGGGUUGGGCUUGGAGCUAGGAUUUUUCUGAGUGCACUGAACCAACUCCCGAGUCUCUAGGACAUUCCUAAAAAAAUUUGAUUUUUUCCCAUAGGAAUGCAUGGGUUAGGGUUAGGGUUAGGGUUGGAGCUAGGGUUAGGGUUAGGGUUGGAGUUAGGGUUAGUGUUGGAGCUAGGGUUAGGGUUGGGCUUGGAGCUAGGACUUUUCUGAGUGCAAUGAACCAACUCCCGAGUCUCUAGGACGUUCCCUAAAAAAAAUUGAUUUUUUCCCAUAGGAAUGCAUGGGUUAGGGUUAGGGUUAGGGUUGGAGCUAGGGUUAGGGUUAGGGUUAGGGUUAGAGUUAGGGUUAGUGUUGGAGCUAGGGUUAGGGUUGGGCUUGGAGCUAGGAUUUUUCUGAGUGCACUGAACCAACUCCCGAGUCUCUAGGACAUUCCUAAAAAAAAUUGAUUUUUUUCCCAUAGGAAUGCAUGGGUUAGGGUUAGGGUUAGGGUUGGAGCUAGGGUUAGUGUUAGGUUUAGGGUUGGAGUUAGGGUUAGUGUUGGAGUUAGGGUUAGGGUUGGGCUUGGAGCUAGGAUUUUUCUGAGUGCAAUGAACCAACUCCCGAGUCUCUAGGACGUUCCUAAAAAAAUUUGAUUUUUUCCCAUAGGAAUGCAUGGGUUAGGGUUAGGGUUAGGGUUGGAGCUAGGGUUAGGGUUAGGGUUAGGGUUGGAGUUAGGGUUAGUGUUGGAGCUAGGGUUAGGGUUGGGCUUGGAGCUAGGAUUUUUCUGAGUGCACUGAACCAACUCCCGAGUCUCUAGGACAUUCCUAAAAAAAUUUGAUUUUUUCCCAUAGGAAUGCAUGGGUUAGGGUUAUGGUUAGGGUUAGGGUUGGAGCUAGGGUUAGGGUUAGGGUUAGGGUUGGAGUUAGGGUUAGUGUUGGAGCUAGGGUUAGGGUUGGGCUUGGAGCUAGGAUUUUUCUGAGAGCACUGAACCAACUCCCGAGUCUCUAGGACAUUCCUAAAAAAAUUUGAUUUUUUCCCAUAGGAAUGCAUGGGUUAGGGUUAUGGUUAGGGUUAGGGUUGGAGCUAGGGUUAGGGUUAGGGUUAGGGUUGGAGUUAUGGUUAGUGUUGGAGCUAGGGUUAGGGUUGGGCUUGGAGCUAGGAUUUUUCUGAGUGCAAUGAACCAACUCCAGAGUCUCUAGGACGUUCCUAAAAAAAUUUGAUUUUUUCCCAUAGGAAUGCAUGGGUUAGGGUUAGGGUUAGGGUUGGAGCUAGGGUUAGGGUUAGGGUUAGGGUUAGGGUUGGAGUUAGGGUUAGUGUUGGAGCUAGGGUUAGGGUUGGGCUUGGAGCUAGGAUUUUUCUGAGUGCACUGAACCAACUCCCGAGUCUCUAGGACAUUCCUAAAAAAAUUUGAUUUUUUCCCAUAGGAAUGCAUGGGUUAGGGUUAGGGUUAGGGUUGGAGCUAGGGUUAGGGUUAGGGUUAGGGUUGGAGUUAGGGUUAGUGUUGGAGCUAGGGUUAGGGUUGGGCUUGGAGCUAGGAUUUUUCUGAGUGCACUGAACCAACUCCCGAGUCUCUAGGACAUUCCUAAAAAAUUUGAUUUUUUCCCAUAGGAAUGCAUGGGUUAGGGUUAUGGUUAGGGUUAGGGUUGGAGCUAGGGUUAGGGUUAGGGUUAGGGUUGGAGUUAGGGUUAGUGUUGGAGCUAGGGUUAGGGUUGGGCUUGGAGCUAGGAUUUUUCUGAGUGCAAUGAACCAACUCCCGAGUCUCUUGGACGUUCCUAAAAAAAUUUGAUUUUUUCCCAUAGGAAUGCAUGGGUUAGGGUUAGGGUUAGGGUUGGAGCUAGGGUUAGGGUUAGGGUUAGGGUUGGAGUUAGGGUUAGUGUUGGAGCUAGGGUUAGGGUUGGGCUUGGAGCUAGGAUUUUUCUGAGUGCACUGAACCAACUCCCGAGUCUCUAGGACAUUCCUAAAAAAAUUAGAUUUUUUCCCAUAGGAAUGCAUGGGUUAGGGUUAUGUUUAGGGUUAGGGUUGGAGCUAGGGUUAGGGUUAGGGUUAGGGUUGGAGUUAGGGUUAGUGUUGGAGCUAGGGUUAGGGUUGGGCUUGGAGCUAGGAUUUUUCUGAGUGCAAUGAACCAACUCCCGAGUCUCUUGGACGUUCCUAAAAAAAUUUGAUUUUUUCCCAUAGGAAUGCAUGGGUUAGGGUUAGGGUUAGGGUUGGAGCUAGGGUUAGGGUUAGGGUUAGGGUUGGAGUUAGGGUUAGUGUUGGAGCUAGGGUUAGGGUUGGGCUUGGAGCUAGGAUUUUUCUGAGUGCAAUGAACCAACUCCCGAGUCUCUAGGACGUUCCUAAAAAAAUUUGAUUUUUUCCCAUAGGAAUGCAUGGGUUAGGGUUAGGGUUAGGGUUGGAGCUAGGGUUAGGGUUAGGGUUAGGGUUGGAGUUAAGGUUAGUGUUGGAGCUAGGGUUAGGGUUGGGCUUGGAGCUAGGAUUUUUCUGAGUGCAAUGAACCAACUACCGAGUCUCUAGGACGUUCCUAAAAAAAUUUGAUUUUUUCCCAUAGGAAUGCAUGGGUUAGGGUUAUGGUUAGGGUUAGGGUUGGAGCUAGGGUUAGGGUUAGGGUUAGGGUUGGAGUUAGGGUUAGUGUUGGAGCUAGGGUUAGGGUUGGGCUUGGAGCUAGGAUUUUUCUGAGUGCAAUGAACCAACCCCCGAGUCUCUAGGACGUUCCUAAAAAAAUUUGAUUUUUUCCCAUAGGAAUGCAUGGGUUAGGGUUAUGGUUAGGGUUAGGGUUGGAGCUAGGGUUAGGGUUAGGGUUAGGGUUGGAGUUAGGGUUAGUGUUGGAGCUAGGGUUAGGGUUGGGCUUGGAGCUAGGAUUUUUCUGAGUGCAAUGAACCAACUCCCGAGUCUCUAGGACAUUCCUAAAAAAAUUUGAUUUUUUCCCAUAGGAAUGCAUGGGUUAGGGUUAGGGUUAGGGUUGGAGCUAGGGUUAGGGUUAGGGUUAGGGUUGGAGUUAGGGUUAGUGUUGGAGCUAGGGUUAGGGUUGGGCUUGGAGCUAGGAUUUUUCUGAGUGCAAUGAACCAACUCCCGAGUCUCUAGGACGUUCCUAAAAAAAUUUGAUUUUUUCCCAUAGGAAUGCAUGGGUUAGGGUUAGGGUUAGGGUUGGAGCUAGGGUUAGGGUUAGGGUUAGGGUUAGUGUUGGAGCUAGGGUUAGGGUUGGGCUUGGAGCUAGGAUUUUUCUGAGUGCACUGAACCAACUCCCGAGUCUCUAGGACAUUCCUAAAAAAAUUAGAUUUUUUCCCAUAGGAAUGCAUGGGUUAGGGUUAGGGUUAGGCUUGGAGCUAGGGUUAGGGUUAGGGUUAGGGUUGGAGUUAGGGUUAGUGUUGGAGCUAGGGUUAGGGUUGGGCUUGGAGCUAGGAUUUUUCUGAGUGCAAUGAACCAACUCCCGAGUCUCUAGGACGUUCCUAAAAAAAUUUGAUUUUUUCCCAUAGGAAUGCAUGGGUUAGGGUUAGGGUUAGGGUUGGAGCUAGGGUUAGGGUUAGGGUUAGGGUUGGAGUUAGGGUUAGUGUUGGAGCUAGGGUUAGGGUUGGGCUUGGAGCUAGGAUUUUUCUGAGUGCACUGAACCAACUCCCGAGUCUCUAGGACAUUCCUAAAAAAAUUUGAUUUUUUCCCAUAGGAAUGCAUGGGUUAGGGUUAUGGUUAGGGUUAGGGUUGGAGCUAGGGUUAGGGUUAGGGUUAGGGUUGGAGUUAGGGUUAGUGUUGGAGCUAGGGUUAGGGUUGGGCUUGGAGCUAGGAUUUUUCUGAGUGCACUGAACCAACUCCCGAGUCUCUAGGACAUUCCUAAAAAAAUUUGAUUUUUUCCCAUAGGAAUGCAUGGGUUAGGGUUAGGGUUAGGCUUGGAGCUAGGGUUAGGGUUAGGGUUAGGGUUGGAGUUAGGGUUAGUGUUGGAGCUAGGGUUAGGGUUGGGCUUGGAGCUAGGAUUUUUCUGAGUGCACUGAACCAACUCCCGAGUCUCUAGGACAUUCCUAAAAAAAAUUGAUUUUUUUCCCAUAGGAAUGCAUGGGUUAGGGUUAUGGUUAGGGUUAGGGUUGGAGCUAGGGUUAGGGUUGGAGUUAGGGUUAGUGUUGGAGCUAGGGUUAGGGUUAGGGUUAGGGUUAGGGUUAGGGUUAGGGUUAGGUUAGGGUUAGGGUUGGAGCUAGGGUUAGGGUUAGGGUUAGGGUUGGAGUUAGGGUUAGUGUUGGACCUAGGGUUAGGGUUGGGCUUGGAGCUAGGAUUUUUCUGAGUGCAAUGAACCAACUCCCGAGUCUCUAGGACGUUCCUAAACAAAUUUGAUUUUUUCCCAUAGGAAUGCAUGGGUUAGGGUUAGGGUUAGGGUUGGAGCUAGGGUUAGGGUUAGGGUUAGGGUUGGAGUUAGGGUUAGUGUUGGAGCUAGGGUUAGGGUUGGGCUUGGAGCUAGGAUUUUUCUGAGUGCAAUGAACCAACUCCCGAGUCUCUAGGACGUUCCUAAAAAAUUUGAUUUUUUCCCAUAGGAAUGCAUGGGUUAGGGUUAGGGUUAGGGUUGGAGCUAGGGUUAGGGUUAGGGUUAGGGUUGGAGUUAAGGUUAGUGUUGGAGCUAGGGUUAGGGUUGGGCUUGGAGCUAGGAUUUUUCUGAGUGCAAUGAACCAACUCCCGAGUCUCUAGGACGUUCCUAAAAAAAAUUGAUUUUUUCCCAUAGGAAUGCAUGGGUUAGGGUUAUGGUUAGGGUUAGGGUUGGAGCUAGGGUUAGGGUUAGGGUUAGGGUUGGAGUUAGGGUUAGUGUUGGAGCUAGGGUUAGGGUUGGGCUUGGAGCUAGGAUUUUUCUGAGUGCAAUGAACCAACCCCCGAGUCUCUAGGACGUUCCUAAAAAAAUUUGAUUUUUUCCCAUAGGAAUGCAUGGGUUAGGGUUAUGGUUAGGGUUAGGGUUGGAGCUAGGGUUAGGGUUAGGGUUAGGGUUGGAGUUAGGGUUAGUGUUGGAGCUAGGGUUAGGGUUGGGCUUGGAGCUAGGAUUUUUCUGAGUGCAAUGAACCAACUCCCGAGUCUCUAGGACGUUCCUAAAAAAAUUUGAUUUUUUUCCCCNNNNNNNNNNNNNNNNNNNNNNNNNNNNNNNNNNNNNNNNNNNNNNNNNNNNNNNNNNNNNNNNNNNNNNNNNNNNNNNNNNNNNNNNNNNNNNNNNNNNNNNNNNNNNNNNNNNNNNNNNNNNNNNNNNNNNNNNNNNNNNNNNNNNNNNNNNNNNNNNNNNNNNNNNNNNNNNNNNNNNNNNNNNNNNNNNNNNNNNNGUCUCUGAGGACAUUCCUAAAAAAAAUUUGAUUUUUCCCAUAGGAAUGCAUGGAGUUGGGGUUAGGGUUAGGGUUGGAGCUAGGGUUAGGGUUAGGGUUGGGGUUGGAGUUAGGGUUAGUGUUGGAGCUAGGGUUAGGGUUGGGCUUGGAGCUAGGAUUUUUCUGAGUGCAAUGAACCAACUCCCGAGUCUCUAGGACGUUCCUAAAAAAAUUUGAUUUUUUCCCAUAGGAAUGCAUGGGUUAGGGUUAGGGUUAGGGUUGGAGCUAGGGUUAGGGUUAGGGUUAGGGUUGGAGUUAGGGUUAGUGUUGGAGCUAGGGUUAGGGUUGGGCUUGGAGCUAGGAUUUUUCUGAGUGCACUGAACCAACUCCCGAGUCUCUAGGACGUUCCUAAAAAAAUUUGAUUUUUUUCCCAUAGGAAUGCAUGGGUUAGGGUUAUGGUUAGGGUUGGAGCUAGGGUUAGGGUUAGGGUUAGGGUUGGAGUUAGGGUUAGUGUUGGAGCUAGGGUUAGGGUUGGGCUUGGAGCUAGGAUUUUUCUGAGUGCACUGAACCAACUCCCGAGUCUCUAGGACGUUCCUAAAAAAAUUUGAUUUUUUCCCAUAGGAAUGCAUGGGUUAGGGUUAGGGUUAGGGUUGGAGCUAGGGUUAGGGUUAGGGUUAGGGUUGGAGUUAGGGUUAGUGUUGGAGCUAGGGUUAGGGUUGGGCUUGGAGCUAGGAUUUUUCUGAGUGCACUGAACCAACUCCCGAGUCUCUAGGACGUUCCUAAAAAAAAAUUUGAUUUUUUCCCAUAGGAAAUGCAUGGGUUAGGGUUAGGGUUAGGGUUGGAGCUAGGGUUAGGGUUAGGGUUAGGGUUGGAGUUAGGGUUAGUGUUGGAGCUAGGGUUAGGGUUGGGCUUGGAGCUAGGAUUUUUCUGAGUGCACUGAACCAACUCCCGAGUCUCUAGGACAUUCCUAAAAAAAUUUGAUUUUUUCCCAUAGGAAUGCAUGGGUUAGGGUUAUGGUUGGGGUUAGGGUUGGAGCUAGGGUUAGGGUUAGGGUUAGGGUUGGAGUUAGGGUUAGUGUUGGAGCUAGGGUUAGGGUUGGGCUUGGAGCUAGGAUUUUUCUGAGUGCACUGAACCAACUCCCGAGUCUCUAGGACAUUCCUAAAAAAAAUUGAUUUUUUCCCAUAGGAAUGCAUGGGUUAGGGUUAUGGUUAGGGUUAGGGUUGGAGCUAGGGUUAGGGUUAGGGUUAGGGUUGGAGUUAGGGUUAGUGUUGGAGCUAGGGUUAGGGUUGGGCUUGGAGCUAGGAUUUUUCUGAGUGCACUGAACCAACUCCCGAGUCUCUAGGACAUUCCUAAAAAAAUUUGAUUUUUCCCAUAGGAAUGCAUGGGUUAGGGUUAGGGUUAGGGUUGGAGCUAGGGUUAGGGUUAGGGUUAGGGUUGGAGUUAGGGUUAGUGUUGGAGCUAGGGUUAGGGUUGGGCUUGGAGCUAGGAUUUUUCUGAGUGCACUGAACCAACUCCCGAGUCUCUAGGACAUUCCUAAAAAAAUUUGAUUUUUUCCCAUAGGAAUGCAUGGGUUAGGGUUAGGGUUAGGGUUGGAGCUAGGGUUAGGGUUAGGGUUAGGGUUGGAGUUAGGGUUAGUGUUGGAGCUAGGGUUAGGGUUGGGCUUGGAGCUAGGAUUUUUCUGAGUGCACUGAACCAACUCCCGAGUCUCUAGGACAUUCCUAAAAAAAUUUGAUUUUUCCCAUAGGAAUGCAUGGGUUAGGGUUAUGGUUAGUUAGGGUUGGAGCUAGGGUUAGGGUUAGGGUUAGGGUUGGAGUUAGGGUUAGUGUUGGAGCUAGGGUUAGGGUUGGGCUUGGAGCUAGGAUUUUUCUGAGUGCAAUGAACCAACUCCCGAGUCUCUAGGACGUUCCUAAAAAAAUUUGAUUUUUUUCCCAUAGGAAUGCAUGGGUUAGGGUUAGGGUUAGGGUUAGGGUUGGAGCUAGGGUUAGGGUUAGGGUUAGGGUUGGAGUUAGGGUUAGUGUUGGAGCUAGGGUUAGGGUUGGGCUUGGAGCUAGGAUUUUUCUGAGUGCAAUGAACCAACUCCCGAGUCUCUAGGACGUUCCUAAAAAAAUUUGAUUUUUUCCCAUAGGAAUGCAUGGGUUAGGGUUAUGGUUAGGGUUAGGGUUGGAGCUAGGGUUAGGGUUAGGGUUAGGGUUGGAGUUAGGGUUAGUGUUGGAGCUAGGGUUAGGGUUGGGCUUGGAGCUAGGAUUUUCUGAGUGCAAUGAACCAACUCCCGAGUCUCUAGGACGUUCCUAAAAAAAUUUGAUUUUUUCCCAUAGGAAUGCAUGGGUUAGGGUUAGGGUUAGGGUUGGAGCUAGGGUUAGGGUUAGGGUUAGGGUUGGAGUUAGGGUUAGUGUUGGAGCUAGGGUUAGGGUUGGGCUUGGAGCUAGGAUUUUUCUGAGUGCAAUGAACCAACUCCCGAGUCUCUAGGACGUUCCUAAAAAAUUUGAUUUUUUCCCAUAGGAAUGCAUGGGUUAGGGUUAGGGUUAGGGUUAGGGUUGGAGCUAGGGUUAGGGUUAGGGUUAGGGUUGGAGUUAGGGUUAGUGUUGGAGCUAGGGUUAGGGUUGGGCUUGGAGCUAGGAUUUUCUGAGUGCACUGAACCAACUCCCGAGUCUCUAGGACAUUCCUAAAAAAAUUUGAUUUUUUCCCAUAGGAAUGCAUGGGUUAGGGUUAGGGUUAGGGUUAGGGUUGGAGCUAGGGUUAGGGUUAGGGUUAGGGUUGGAGUUAGGGUUAGUGUUGGAGCUAGGGUUAGGGUUGGGCUUGGAGCUAGGAUUUUUCUGAGUGCACUGAACCAACUCCCGAGUCUCUAGGACAUUCCUAAAAAAAUUUGAUUUUUCCCAUAGGAAUGCAUGGGUUAGGGUUAGGGUUAGGGUUGGAGCUAGGGUUAGGGUUAGGGUUGGAGUUAGGGUUAGUGUUGGAGCUAGGGUUAGGGUUGGGCUUGGAGCUAGGAUUUUUCUGAGUGCAAUGAACCAACUCCCGAGUCUCUAGGACGUUCCUAAAAAAUUUGAUUUUUUCCCAUAGGAAUGCAUGGGUUAGGGUUAGGGUUAGGGUUGGAGCUAGGGUUAGGGUUAGGGUUAGGGUUGGAGUUAGGGUUAGUGUUGGAGCUAGGGUUAGGGUUGGGCUUGGAGCUAGGAUUUUUCUGAGUGCACUGAACCAACUCCCGAGUCUCUAGGACGUUCCUAAAAAAAUUUGAUUUUUUCCCAUAGGAAUGCAUGGGUUAGGGUUAGGGUUAGGGUUAGGGUUGGAGCUAGGGUUAGGGUUAGGGUUAGGGUUGGAGUUAGGGUUAGUGUUGGAGCUAGGGUUAGGGUUGGGCUUGGAGCUAGGAUUUUUCUGAGUGCACUGAACCAACUCCCGAGUCUCUCUAGGAGGCGUUCCUAAAAAAUUUGAUUUUUUCCCAUAGGAAUGCAUGGGUUAGGGUUAGGGUUAGGGUUAGGGUUGGAGCUAGGGUUAGGGUUAGGGUUAGGGUUGGAGUUAGGGUUAGUGUUGGAGCUAGGGUUAGGGUUGGGCUUGGAGCUAGGAUUUUUCUGAGUGCAAUGAACCAACUCCCGAGUCUCUUGGACGUUCCUAAAAAAAUUUGAUUUUUUUCCCAUAGGAAUGCAUGGGUUAGGGUUAGGGUUAGGGUUGGAGCUAGGGUUAGGGUUAGGGUUAGGGUUGGAGUUAGGGUUAGUGUUGGAGCUAGGGUUAGGGUUGGGCUUGGAGCUAGGAUUUUUCUGAGUGCACUGAACCAACUCCCGAGUCUCUAGGACAUUCCUAAAAAAAUUUGAUUUUUUCCCAUAGGAAUGCAUGGGUUAGGGUUAGGGUUAGGGUUGGAGCUAGGGUUAGGGUUAGGGUUAGGGUUGGAGUUAGGGUUAGUGUUGGAGCUAGGGUUAGGGUUGGGCUUGGAGCUAGGAUUUUUCUGAGUGCACUGAACCAACUCCCGAGUCUCUAGGACAUUCCUAAAAAAAUUUGAUUUUUUCCCAUAGGAAUGCAUGGGUUAGGGUUAUGGUUAGGGUUAGGGUUGGAGCUAGGGUUAGGGUUAGGGUUAGGGUUGGAGUUAGGGUUAGUGUUGGAGCUAGGGUUAGGGUUGGGCUUGGAGCUAGGAUUUUUCUGAGUGCACUGAACCAACUCCCGAGUCUCUAGGACGUUCCUAAAAAAUUUGAUUUUUUCCCAUAGGAAUGCAUGGGUUAGGGUUAUGGUUAGGGUUAGGGUUGGAGCUAGGGUUAGGGUUAGGGUUAGGGUUGGAGUUAGGGUUAGUGUUGGAGCUAGGGUUAGGGUUGGGCUUGGAGCUAGGAUUUUUCUGAGUGCACUGAACCAACUCCCGAGUCUCUAGGACAUUCCUAAAAAAAUUUGAUUUUUUUCCCAUAGGAAUGCAUGGGUUAGGGUUAGGGUUAGGGUUGGAGCUAGGGUUAGGGUUAGGGUUAGGGUUGGAGUUAGGGUUAGUGUUGGAGCUAGGGUUAGGGUUGGGCUUGGAGCUAGGAUUUUUCUGAGUGCACUGAACCAACUCCCGAGUCUCUAGGACAUUCCUAAAAAAAAAUUUGAUUUUUUCCCAUAGGAAUGCAUGGGUUAGGGUUAUGGUUAGGGUUAGGGUUGGAGCUAGGGUUAGGGUUAGGGUUAGGGUUGGAGUUAGGGUUAGUGUUGGAGCUAGGGUUAGGGUUGGGCUUGGAGCUAGGAUUUUUCUGAGUGCACUGAACCAACUCCCGAGUCUCUAGGACAUUCCUAAAAAAAAAUUGAUUUUUUCCCAUAGGAAUGCAUGGGUUAGGGUUAUGGUUAGGGUUAGGGUUGGAGCUAGGGUUAGGGUUAGGGUUAGGGUUGGAGUUAGGGUUAGUGUUGGAGCUAGGGUUAGGGUUGGGCUUGGAGCUAGGAUUUUUCUGAGUGCAAUGAACCAACUCCCGAGUCUCUAGGACAUUCCUAAAAAAAUUUGAUUUUUUCCCAUAGGAAUGCAUGGGUUAGGGUUAGGGUUAGGGUUGGAGCUAGGGUUAGGGUUAGGGUUGGGUUGGAGUUAGGGUUAGUGUUGGAGCUAGGGUUAGGGUUGGGCUUGGAGCUAGGAUUUUUCUGAGUGCAAUGAACCAACUCCCGAGUCUCUAGGACAUUCCUAAAAAAAUUUGAUUUUUUCCCAUAGGAAUGCAUGGGUUAGGGUUAGGGUUAGGGUUGGAGCUAGGGUUAGGGUUAGGGUUAGGGUUGGAGUUAGGGUUAGUGUUGGAGCUAGGGUUAGGGUUGGGCUUGGAGCUAGGAUUUUUCUGAGUGCAAUGAACCAACUCCCGAGUCUCUAGGACAUUCCUAAAAAAAAAUUUGAUUUUUUCCCAUAGGAAUGCAUGGGUUAGGGUUAUGGUUAGGGUUAGGGUUGGAGCUAGGGUUAGGGUUAGGGUUAGGGUUGGAGUUAGGGUUAGUGUUGGAGCUAGGGUUAGGGUUGGGCUUGGAGCUAGGAUUUUUCUGAGUGCAAUGAACCAACUCCCGAGUCUCUAGGACGUUCUAAAAAAAAUUUGAUUUUUUCCCAUAGGAAUGCAUGGGUUAGGGUUAUGGUUAGGGUUAGGGUUGGAGCUAGGGUUAGGGUUAGGGUUAGGGUUGGAGUUAGGGUUAGUGUUGGAGCUAGGGUUAGGGUUGGGCUUGGAGCUAGGAUUUUUCUGAGUGCAAUGAACCAACUCCCGAGUCUCUAGGACGUUCCUAAAAAAAUUUGAUUUUUUCCCAUAGGAAUGCAUGGGUUAGGGUUAGGGUUAGGGUUGGAGCUAGGGUUAGGGUUAGGGUUAGGGUUGGAGUUAGGGUUAGUGUUGGAGCUAGGGUUAGGGUUGGGCUUGGAGCUAGGAUUUUUCUGAGUGCAAUGAACCAACUCCCGAGUCUCUAGGACGUUCCUAAAAAAAAAUUUGAUUUUUUCCCAUAGGAAUGCAUGGGUUAGGGUUAGGGUUAGGGUUGGAGCUAGGGUUAGGGUUAGGGUUAGGGUUGGAGUUAGGGUUAGUGUUGGAGCCAGGGUUAGGGUUGGGCUUGGAGCUAGGAUUUUUCUGAGUGCACUGAACCAACUCCCGAGUCUCUAGGACAUUCCUAAAAAAUUUGAUUUUUUUCCCAUAGGAAUGCAUGGGUUAGGGUUAGUGGUUAGGGUUAGGGUUGGAGCUAGGGUUAGGGUUAGGGUUAGGGUUGGAGUUAGGGUUAGUGUUGGAGCUAGGGUUAGGGUUGGGCUUGGAGCUAGGAUUUUUCUGAGUGCAAUGAACCAACCCCCGAGUCUCUAGGACGUUCCUAAAAAAAUUUGAUUUUUUCCCUAUAGGAAUGCAUGGGUUAGGGUUAGGGUUAGGGUUGGAGCUAGGGUUAGGGUUAGGGUUAGGGUUGGAGUUAGGGUUAGUGUUGGAGCUAGGGUUAGGGUUGGGCUUGGAGCUAGGAUUUUUCUGAGUGCAAUGAACCAACUCCCGAGUCUCUAGGACGUUCCUAAAAAAAUUUGAUUUUUUCCCAUAGGAAUGCAUGGGUUAGGGUUAGGGUUAGGGUUGGAGCUAGGGUUAGGGUUAGGGUUAGGGUUGGAGUUAGGGUUAGUGUUGGAGCUAGGGUUAGGGUUGGGCUUGGAGCUAGGUUUUUCUGAGGGUGCACUGAACCAACUCCCGAGUCUCUAGGACAUUCCUAAAAAAAUUUGAUUUUUUCCCAUAGGAAUGCAUGGGUUAGGGUUAUGGUUAGGGUUGGAGCUAGGGUUAGGGUUAGGGUUAGGGUUGGAGUUAGGGUUAGUGUUGGAGCUAGGGUUAGGGUUGGGCUUGGAGCUAGGAUUUUUCUGAGUGCACUGAACCAACUCCCGAGUCUCUAGGACAUUCCUAAAAAAAUUUGAUUUUUUCCCAUAGGAAUGCAUGGGUUAGGGUUAGGGUUAGGGUUGGAGCUAGGGUUAGGGUUAGGGUUAGGGUUGGAGUUAGGGUUAGUGUUGGAGCUAGGGUUAGGGUUGGGCUUGGAGCUAGGAUUUUUCUGAGUGCACUGAACCAACUCCCGAGUCUCUAGGACAUUCCUAAAAAAAUUUGAUUUUUCCCAUAGGAAUGCAUGGGUUAGGGUUAUGGUUAGGGUUAGGGUUGGAGCUAGGGUUAGGGUUAGGGUUAGGGUUGGAGUUAGGGUUAGUGUUGGAGCUAGGGUUAGGGUUGGGCUUGGAGCUAGGAUUUUUCUGAGUGCACUGAACCAACUCCCGAGUCUCUAGGACAUUCCUAAAAAAAUUUGAUUUUUUUCCCAUAGGAAUGCAUGGGUUAGGGUUAGGGUUAUGGUUAGGGUUAGGGUUAGGGUUAGGGUUAGGGUUGGAGUUAGGGUUAGUGUUGGAGCUAGGGUUAGGGUUGGGCUUGGAGCUAGGAUUUUUCUGAGUGCACUGAACCAACUCCCGGGUCUCUAGGACAUUCCUAAAAAAAUUUGAUUUUUUCCCAUAGGAAUGCAUGGGUUAGGGUUAGGGUUAGGGUUGGAGCUAGGGUUAGGGUUAGGGUUAGGGUUGGAGUUAGGGUUAGUGUUGGAGCUAGGGUUAGGGUUGGGCUUGGAGCUAGGAUUUUUCUGAGUGCAAUGAACCAACUCCCGAGUCUCUAGGACAUUCCUAAAAA
rnacentral:lncRNA from 1 species